AAGUCGUAACAAGGUUUCCGUAGGUGAACCUGCGGAAGGAUCAUUAACACGUAUCCACGUUAAACCAACCGUGCACUUUCAAUUAUGCGUUGUUUUUGAGCUCGAGGUCAGUUCGCUUUCCAAGAGUUCGAAGACGAUUCGUUUCGGCUCGGCACGUGUCGUGAAGUUGGUGCUUGCGAGUGAAACUGGAAGGGUACGUAACUCGACAGUUUCGACGUGGGGCUGGAAAACUCGAUUUAUUUCAAAGGACGAUCCGUUCUGGGCCGGAUCGAAAUUUGUGGUAAUGAGAGGGUUCUGGAACUCUACGGGGUAACUGUCUGAGUUGCACAUCCAUUUCAAACCCCUUAAAAAAAAUUGACAUCCGAGACCUCAGGGUAAAACCGAGGCUCGAGCAACCGAACAACUGUUAACAAUGGAUAUCUUGGUUCUC
rnacentral:misc_RNA from 1 species